GUCCCAUUGCAGUGAGAGGCAGUAGAGUGAAGUGACUGCGGACGCCGUUAAAAAGUUUGCGCAAACAAAUAUGUCGUUGAAGUCUUAAGAUAAUAACUCGACAGUCUCAAUCAUGAUAUUGCCUCUACAUAUUAUUUGUGGGCAACUGAAGUUAUUUCUGCCCGAAGUGUAUCAUACUGUUGUCCACGUGUUUGUAUUAGCUUCACGUGUGUAUUCGCUCAUUAGCUUACGGUGUUUAUGUUUAUUAGCAUCCAUUAGCAAAGUGAACGGACUAUUAGCCGUCGCAUAGCUAACAGCUUGCGCCGAAGGCUUUAGCUCGUCGUCUUCGACGUGGGAAACCUCGAGGAUUUGUGAGACUGUGCUUCGAAGCUAACGGUCAGAGCUUCGUCCACUUCGCGGGAGAGACCGCGUCAUCUCCGGACAUCGGUCUGACCGCCACCUUGAUCUUCAUGGGAGAGACCGAGAGACUGGUAACGUCAUCAGCUACCAAGGCCACGCCAUCUCUGGACACCUGCCUCCCCCUGUUCUCCAUCCGAGGCCGAGAGAGACUGGUUAAAGCUGCAGAUCGGACCCCGAAUUGAACUAAGUGACUGGACACGGUGACUGGCUGCCAUCUCUCCCAUUAUCUGCCUUCCUCUCCUUCCAACAUCUUCCAUCAUCUCCACUCAACUCCUGCCCUCAUGACCACUGCUCUCUGCCGUCACUGCCCUCUCUAUGUGGCUGGCCUGGAGGUAUCUGUGGUGAAACACUGGCUGGAGGGCCGCCUCUGUUUUCCCAUGAAGAGUCACUUGCUGCUGGCUGUUCACCUGGAAAAGCUCUCUGUGAAUCGCCCACUGACCCAGAAGACCAACCCCACUGAAACCACGCACAAUUGGCUCUGGGGCUCUCGAUGCCCUCGUUCUCUUGAGCCCCUUUCACGGUGCCAUGACAAGGACAAAUUGCAUCCACCGCCCCUUCCACAAAAACAUCUUAGGGCCUUAGGCUCGUCGGUGAGUGAUGGGUCGGGCCAUGUCUCUGUAAAAGCCCUCCUUGCAGUAGUGGCAGUGGCGUCCUGCAGUGUUGUGGCGGCAGUUCAUACAGACUCCUCCGCUCUUCCUCCCCGAAAGCUUGUACAACUCCAUGUUGAAUCGACAGCGGCGGGCAUGGAGGUUACAGUUACAUGCUGCAGAGGGAAGAGGAACAUUCACAUUGCAUCAGCAAAGAGCGUGGGAAGGAGUUCUGAGGGUGAAAGUCAGCAAAGACACUGUGAUCACUGAGCGAUGGGUCAGUGUCAUGUUCAGGGAUGCGUGAAGUCGGCUCCUCGUGUUGUCGUGGAAAUCAAACAACAAACACAAGCUACAGGCUUGGCAAACAUAGGGAUGCUGAGACAAAAAAGUGGAGAGGAUGGAGGGAUGGGAGGAAGAAACUCCAAGGAAAAUACUGCAGUCGGCACAGAGGAAGAAGCAGACGACUGCUGUGCAAUCAAAUUAUCAGAGAGAAUCAGUAAAAACGGAGGUUAAAAAAAACCAGAUCCACUUUUGCCAUGACUCUUGGCAUACGCAACGAGGUCCACUCUGGGAUACAUGUGAUGCCUGGGCAGGUUUAGAAAUAGAAAGUGACAGAUGGAAUACAUUCACCACUGUGGCCAGAGAUGGCAGUAGAAAUUGGGGAAUGUUUUAUGUUUUACUGUAGUAUAGUCAGAUUUUGAUGCAGGCUUGCAUGCGAAUGCGUGGACUGCCAAAGAGUUCGGGGUCGAUGAUGGAUCUUGUAACGGACAAGAUUGUCCAUCCAAAUAAAUGGUUUGAUGA